UACGUAGGUGGCAAGCGUUGUCCGGAUUUAUUGGGUUUAAAGGGUGCGUAGGCGGAUAAUUAAGUCAGUGGUGAAAGCCGGCAGCUCAACUGUCGAACUGCCAUUGAUACUGGUUAUCUUGAGUAUAGUUGAGGCAGGCGGAAUUUACGAUGUAGCGGUGAAAUGCAUAGAUAUCGUAAAGAACACCUAUAGCGAAGGCAGCUUGCUAAACUAUAACUGACGCUGAGGCACGAAAGCAUGGGGAGCGAACAGG
rnacentral:misc_RNA from 1 species